AAAUUGAAGAGUUUGAUCAUGGCUCAGAUUGAACGCUGGCGGCAGGCCUAACACAUGCAAGUCGAACGGUAACAGGAAGCAGCUUGCUGCUUCGCUGACGAGUGGCGGACGGGUGAGUAAAGUCUGGGAAACUGCCUGAUGGAGGGGGAUAACUACUGGAAACGGUGGCUAAUACCGCAUAACGUCGCAAGACCAAAGAGGGGGACCUUCGGGCCUCUUGCCAUCAGAUGUGCCCAGAUGGGAUUAGCUAGUUGGUGAGGUAACGGCUCACCAAGGCGACGAUCCCUAGCUGGUCUGAGAGGAUGACCAGCCACACUGGAACUGAGACACGGUCCAGACUCCUACGGGAGGCAGCAGUGGGGAAUAUUGCACAAUGGGCGCAAGCCUGAUGCAGCCAUGCCGCGUGUAUGAAGAAGGCCUUCGGGUUGUAAAGUACUUUCAGCGGGGAGGAAGGUGUUGUGGUUAAUAACC
rnacentral:rRNA from 1 species